rnacentral:rRNA from 1 species
AGUGAAGCGGGAUGAAGCUCAAAUUUAAAAUCUGGCUGGUUUACUAGUCCGAGUUGUAGUUUAAAGAAGCGUUUUCGGUGGCAGUCUCGGUAUAAAUCCUUUGGAAUAGGGUAUCAUAGAGGGUGAGAAUCCCGUCUUUGACUGAGAAUAUGCUACUAUGUGAUACGUUUUCAAAGAGUCGAGUUGUUUGGGAAUGCAGCUCAAAAUGGGUGGUAAAUUUCAUCUAAGGCUAAAUAUUGGCGAGAGACCGAUAGCGAACAAGUACCGUGAGGGAAAGAUGAAAAGAACUUUGAAAAGAGAGUUAAACAGUGCGUGAAAUUGUUAAAAGGGAAACGCUUGAAACCAGUCAUGCGGUUGGGAAAUCAGUCUCUGACAAGGGGGAAUGGGAGAGGUGUGGACCGCAAGGCCGCUCUUUUUCAUAUCUUUCGUGGCAGGGAUGCACUUUUUCUUCUGCAGGUCAACAUCAGUUUGCUUUGCCGGACAAAACUCUUGGAAAGGUGAUAGCUUAGGCUAUGUUAUAGUCCAAGAGCGAUACGGUGGAGCGGACUGAGGCUUUCGCAGCAUGUGCUCUCGGGCAAGGCUGAUUGGGUGCUAUGGGAUCGUUCAGAGUACAAUACAUGUAUUUUGCUUUGUGUCUUUUCUAUACUCGCUCAACUCGGCUCUUCCAUGCUUAGGAUGUUGACAUAAUGGUUCUAAUCGACCCGUCUUGAAACACGGACCAAGGAGUCUAACAUAUAUGCAAGUGUUUGGGUGGCAAACCCAUGCGCGUAAUGAAAGUGAACGUAGGUGCCAUCCGCAAGGUGCAGCAUCGACCGAUCUUGAUAUUUUUGGAUAGAUUUGAGUAAGAGCAUAUAUGCUGGGACCCGAAAGAUGGUGAACUAUGCCUGAAUAGGGUGAAGCCAGAGGAAACUUCUGGUGGAGGCUCGUAGCGAUUUCUGACGUGCAAAUCGAUCGUCAAAUUUGGGUAUAGGGGCGAAAGACUAAUCGA